UCCCGUAUAUAAAGACCGCUUUGCCAAUUUUCUUACCGUCAUUUGGCAUUGGAUAGUCACAGUGUGAUCAGCAUCGGCAGAAUGUCAAGGAUCGCGAGUUAUUUGUUCGUCGCGCUACUCAUCGCGGUUGCAGUUGCCUUCCCGACGAACGAUCUUCAGCCACAGCCACCUCAAGGUUUGCAAGGAAUAAUAAUAAGAGCAGCCUUACCGGAAGUCGUCCGUGUUAAGCGUUACGGAUACAGAGGAUACGGUGGAUACGGUGGAUACGGUGGCUAUCAUGGUCAUCACGGUUUUGGAGGACAUAGAGGAUUUGGAGGACAUGGAGGACAUGGAUGUUUUGGAGGAUGCGGCGGAUUAGGAGGACACCGCGGAUACGGUGGUGGCAACUCUUUUGCCAAUAGUGGAGCUCAUGCCGGUUCUAUAAGCACACCAUUUGGAAGCGCUUCCUUCGCAAGUUCCUUUGCCAAUUCUGGCUCUCGUGGUUACGGACGAUGAAACUAUAAGAUUUCAAGGGACAAUAAUUAUUAUUAAAAUUGAACUCCUGUGACAAUAAUCGUAUUUGUAUACUUAUUAUUAUCGUAUGGAUUAAAAGGCGGAUUGUGAGGACUCGACUUUAAAUUUUCACGCGUCGCAAUAUCCAGUGCAAUUCCACGUGAGUCGUUGGGUUUUAUUAUAUGUAUAAAAAUUUUGUUUACUCCAUAUGCAUCUGUUGUUCCAGCAACAAGUGCUAAGCGACGU
rnacentral:misc_RNA from 1 species